CCCAGAUGGCCUGAAGUAACUGAAGAAUCACAAAAGAAGUGAAUAUGCCCUGCCCCACCUUAACUGAUGACAUUCCACCACAAAAGAAGUGUAAAUGGCUGGUCCUUGCCUUAAGUGAUGACAUUACCUUGUGAAAGUCCUUUUCCUGGCUCAUCCUGGCUCAAAAAGCACCCCCACUGAGCACCUUGCAACCCCCACUCCUGCCCGCCAGAGAACAACCCCCCUUUGACUGUAAUUUUCGUUUACCUACCCAAAUCCUAUAAAACGGCCCCGCCCCUAUCUCCCUUUGCUGACUCUCUUUUCGGACUCAGCCCACCUGCACCCAGGUGAUUAAAAGCUUUAUUGCUCACACAAAGCCUGUUUGGUGGUCUCUUCACAUGGACGUGCGUGAAAUUUGGUGCCGUGACUCAGAUCGGGGGACCUCCCUUGGGAGAUCAAUCCCCUGUCCUCCUGUUCUUUGCUCCGUGAGAAAGAUCCACCUAUGACCUCAGGUCCUCAGACUGACCAGCCCAAGGAACAUCUCACCAAUUUUAAAUCAGGUAAGCGGCCUCUCCUUACUUUCUUCUCCAACCUCUCUCACUGUCCCUCAACCACUUUCUCCUUUCCACUCUUCAAUCUCUCCCUUCUCUUAAUUUCAAUUCCUUUCAUUUUCUGGGAGAGACAAAGGAGACAUGUUUUAUCCAUGGACCCAAAACACUGGUGCCGGUCACAGACUGGGAAGGCAGACUUCCCUUGGUGUUUAAUCAUUGCAAGGACACCUCUCUGAUUAUUCAUCCACGUUUCAAAGGUGUCAGACUACGCAGGGACGCCUGCCAUGGUCCUUCACCCUUAGCGACAAGUCCUGCUUUUCUGUGAAAGGGGCAAGUACCCCAACCCCUUCUCUCCUUGUCUCUACCCCUUCUCUGCUUUUAUGGGGGAGGGGCAAGUACCCCUCAACCCCUUCUCCUUUACCCUUAGCGGCAAGUCCCACUUUUCUGGGGGAGGGGUAAGUACCCCUCAACCCCUUCUCCUUCACUCUUAGUGGCAAGUCCCGCUUUUCUAGAGGAGGGGCAAGUACCCCAACCUCAUAUUUCUGUGCUCCAAUCCCUUAUUUCCAUGCCCCGACCCCUUAUUUCCAUGCCCCAACCCCUUAUUUCCAUGCCCCAACCCCUUAUUUCCAUGCCCCAUCCCUUAUUUCUAUGCCCCAACCUCUUAUCUCUGUGCCCCAACCUCUUUUCCCACUUUUCUGGAAGGUAAGAACCCCCUAACCCCUUCCCUCCAUUUCUCGACUCUCUCUUUUCUCUAGGCUUGCUUCCUUCACUAUAGGCAACCUUCCACCCUCCAUUCCUCCUUCUACUCCCUUGGCCUGUGUUCUCAAAAAUUUAAAACCUCUUCAACUCACACCUGACCUAAAACCUAAAUGCCUUAUUUUCUUCUGCAAUGCUGCUUGACCCCAGUACAAACUCGACACUAGUUCCAAAUAGCCAGAAAAUGGCACUUUGAAUUUUUCCAUCCUGCAAGAUCUAAAUAAUUCUUGUCCUAAAAUAGGCAAACGGUCUGAGGUGCCUGACGUCCAGGCAUUCUUUUACACAUCAGUCCCUUCCUAGUCUCUGUGCCCAGUGCAACUCGUCCCAAAUCUUCCUUCUUUCCCUCCCACCUGUCCCCUCAGUACCAACCCCAAGGGUCGCUGAGUCUUUCUAAUCUUCCUUUUCUACAGACCCAUCUGACCUCUCCCUUCCUCCCCAGGCUGCUCCUCGCCAGGCCGAGCUAGGUCCCAAUUCUUCCUCAGCCUCUGCUCCUCCACCCUAUAAUCUUUUUAUCACCUCCCCUCCUCACACCUGGUCCGGCUUACAGUUUCAUUCCGUGACUAGCCCUCCCCCUCCUGCCCAGCAAUUUACUCUUAAAAAAGUGGCUGGAGCGAAAGGCAUAGUCAAGGUUAAUGCUCCUUUUUCUUUAUCCCAAAUCAGAUAGCGUUUAGGCUCUUUUUCAUCAAAUAUAAAAAUCCAGCCCAGUUCAUGACUUGUUUGGCAGCAACCCUGAGAGGCUUUACAGCCCUAGACCCUAAAACAUCAAAAGGCCGUCUUAUUCUCAAAAUACAUUUUAUUACCCAAUCUGCUCCCGACAUUAAAUAAAACUCCAAAAAUUAAAUUCCAGCCCUCAAACCCCACAACAGGAUUUAAUUAACCUCACCUUCAAGGUGUAUAAUAAUAGAAAAUAGUUGCAAUUCCUUGCCUCCACUGUGAGACAAACCCCAGCCACAUCUCCAGCACACAAGAAUUUCCAAACACCUGAACAGCAGCAGCCAGGUGUUCCUCCAGAACCUCCUCCCCCAGGAGCUUGCUACACGUGCCGGAAAUCUGGCCACUGGGCCAAGGAAAGCCCGCAGCCCGGGAUUCCUCCUAAGCCUCAUCCCAUCUGUGUGGGACCCCACUGAAAAUUGGACUGUUCAACUCACCUGGCAGCCACUCCCAGAGCCCCUGGAACUCUGGCCCAAGGCUCUCUGACUGACUUCUUCCCAGAUCUUCUCGGCUUAGCGGCUGAAGACUGACGCUGCUGGAUAACCUCGGAAGCCCCCUAGACCGUCACGGACGCUGAGCUUCUGGUAACUCUCAAAGUGGAAGGGAGAUCACACAUAAAGAAACUCUCCUUUCCUUCCAACUGGUGGGGUUCCUCAUGUGAUGGAUGUCUCCAAUUCCAAGCAAUAUUACAGCUAGCAGUUCAGUACCGCUCUGCUCAGCAGUGAAGGUUCUCAGAGGGUUGGCUGCUAACAUCCCCCACUGCAUCUUUCUCUGGAGAAUUGCCCUGGGAAGAGAGAAAUGCCAAGAUGGUUUUAUGUCUCCUAUUAUCUUCAGCUAUCCACAGACAAUGAGCGAUUGAUAAUAGGUGGCAAAAUAUCUUAUCUCAAUGAAGGACAACUCUGUGAUGUAACUAAUACUCUUGAAUUCCCUGUGAAAUCAGGCUGAUUUUAACUUUAGGUAAAACUACGCAUUUCCUUGGGUUUUUCUCUUGCUUUGUCUUCACAAGUUUCACCAGAGAGCGCUCUGUCUAUAAAUUACCUACACAUAAAUCUCCAUCUAAAAUUCUGCUUUAGGGAGCCUCAAACCACUAUACUAUCCUAUUGUCACAAAGGAAAUUAUUUAUGUAGACAAAAUUAAAUGAGUGGGUGAAAUCAUAUAAAAAUAAGUAUUCCUAAUCAGUAAUAACUAUACUUCCUAAGCACAACACAUGUGUUUCUGUUUCUCAUGGCACAACACAACAGAUUUGUAGGCCAGAAGAAAAUCCCAGAAUUAUUAUCACUGUGAUUGAUCUGGUAGCCUUCAAAUGGCUGAGUUAAUAACGUUGGUUGUAGAAAGAGUAAAAGACAAAUCUAACCUUUUUUACUGCCUUAAGCCAUUCUCUCCUUUGUAGUAUUUUACUUAAUGAAACAGCACUAAGCUUUAAACUGCACUUGACAUAGGUUUGAUUUUCUGUUGACAGAACCCUUGAUAGAGAUAACCAUAGGAAUAGCAUGCUAUUGUUCUCAGUCCAAGGAUAGGAUAAACCACUUUCAUGGUGUUAAAUGUACACUGUAAGAGAUAUGUGUUACCCAUGGAUAUAGUUUACUAGAAAAAAAUUGUACUUACGUAGAAGUACUGACUUCCCAACAAGUAGGAGAAUGUUAAUGAAUAGCAUAUUGCAGAGUCACAGACAUGAACAUCCCUUCCCUGAUGUACCUAGUAAACAAAUGAUGAAAACACAAGAAUCCAGUAAGGGAAAUCUCCACUGAGAUUCCAAUUCUGUUGAAAAAGGAGGCACUGUUUUCCAUAGUAAGAUGAAUUUAUAAAAACAAAAUUGGGAGUAUGUGAUAACAGUGUCCUCAUAGGAAGGCAAAGGAAGAGAAUGAAGGCUGGGUACCUUCACUUAAGAAUUUAGAAAAACAAGGAUCAAGUUAUAAGAUUAAAUUUAAACACUCUUUUAUGUACAAGAUGUCAAUAAGUAAAUUUUUGUCCAAGAUUUGAAAAGGGCUCAAAUAUAUAAUUACUUUCUUUUGAUAAAAAUGAGUUGCCUCCUCAUUAUCCUUUUAUGAAAACUCAUGGAUGACAAUCUAUUGUACUGGCAUUUUAAAUUAAGUUACAUGUCUUUUACUUUUGAAUCUUAUCUGCAUCCAAAUAAGUAAAUUGCAUAUUUGAGGGUUCAUUUCAUAAUAAUUUAA